AGAGAUUGCUUUUUCCCUUAACUUGUGGAAUGGACACAUGAAGUUGGAGGUUAUUUUCAAUGGCAACUUUGGACAGUAUUCGUUUUCCUGCUAGAUUGGUGAGCUAUUUUGUUUGAAGUGAAGAAUCGGUUUCAUGGAAGGCCAAUUGGAGUUGAGAGCAAGGUGAAAGAGAUAUUGUAUCGGCUUGAAUUUCUUCUAUUGAAUGCUUGCUUUAUAUUUUUAGUUGAAAGUGAGAUAUUGAGGCAGUACUUCCGUUUAAU
rnacentral:lncRNA from 1 species